rnacentral:lncRNA from 1 species
AUGGUUAGGAUGUCAAGCACUCUUGUUUUGAAUGUUGUGUUGAUGACUGAUGUGCUCCCACACUACGUCCAACUUGCGUUUUUACAAGGGUUUGACUAUUCCUUUGCAAGCCUGGGAAAGAGGAAAAUUCACAUUUUACACAAAAUUAAAGUCCUGCCUGACAGCUCCCCAUCUGCUGGCCAUGUCCCAGUUGUAUUGCUACUCUGGUGCAGGCUUAGCUCCCCUCAAAGUUCCCAAAGAAAUUAUUUUGUGCAUCUUACCAUCGGGUUGACCCACCCCAUGCAAACAUCCCCAACAGGCAAAAGCUGUGGGGAUUUAGAGGCGAAACAUGAACACUGCACUCACAGUGGUGGCUUGGAGAAAAAUGCAGACGAAGGACCGAGCUUGCAGACUCUGCCUGUAAAUGCCACCGGCACACGCAGGGAGAGAGCUGAAAAAAGCCGGCCGCUGCAGACUUGCACAACUGGACGGCCCCUGGCAGCUGGAGAGGAAGCAGCACGUAAUGAGCCCCAGGUGGAGGCAGCAGCUCAAGCUCUGCGAUGGCAGCUCCCCACGCCCUAAAACAAGGGAGCCACCGGGAAGGCAGCCGGGGAACACCACUUCAGCCCAGGCUGCUAAGGAAGAAAAUACUUUUGAGGAGGCCUUUGGAGAAAGCUGGCAGCACAUCACUGGAAAUACCUUGGCUGAAUGCAAGCCAGCUGAAUUUAACAUGAAGAAUGAGUUACAGAAGCAACUGCCUAAGCAGUGUUUAAUACAAUAACCUGAACUAACCUUUUUGUUCAGGUUGGCAGAGGAAUGUUUGCUUCACACCUCACCAGGAGAAGGUUCAUGGCAACAGAACCAGGACUCUGAAAGCACGCUGAAACCAGCAACGCCCCUGACUCAAAGCUAAAAAACUCCAUUUUUGAAAAUGCCAAAUGGAUUUUAUUAUUAAUUACUUCUUUCUUUGCCUUACCCCUGUCACAACACAGAAAGCAGAAGUUAGAAAAAAGCUGAGCUAUCUACACAGGGAAGAUGUGCUUUCUGUCAUGAACAGAAGUUGAUCUGUUUGCAUCAGAGCAAGAUUUGCUGUUGUGGUUAGUGUAGUGGAGUAGCAGAGAUCAGAUGCCUUUCAAAACAGUACAAAAAACUAGUCAAAAUAUCUCUAACCUAGUUAAAUGGACUAUGCAUGAUACUGUGUAAGCACUCUCAAGUCAAACAGAGAAAUGAUAGAGGGAAGAGUUCAAACAAGGAAUGAGACUAGAAGUACAAAAGAAAAUAAAACAUUGGACACAAGGUCA